AUUCCUUAUCUUUGGCGACGAUCCAAUGCUUGCAGUGGCUCAUGGUCGCGGUGUAUAUUGUGAUGGUAAAGAUUAUUACACUUUUUGAUUCAACCUUUUUCUUCUAUAUAAUUUGUACCUUCUCAUUUUCCUCUUCAAUUCAUUUCUUGCUGCAAAAUUAUGAUUACUAGAUAUCUUGUGUUGAUUGUGACCAUAAGCCUCUACAAAUGCUGAAAGUUUUGUUAUUGCUUUCAGGUUGGUGUGAACUUUUCAAUAAAAAGUUCAAUUUCGCAUCUACAAAUGCUGAAAGUUUUGUUAUUGCUUUCAGGUGCAGUGUAUUGUGGAAAUAUGGACAGCGGAAGUGUAUGUCCCGUUUACCCUUCUUAUACGCAUAGUAUUAUGAGUAAGGAUGGGUGCACAGUUUCAGAAGAGUGCAUUAAAGACGAUGAUAGUGAGGAUGAUUAUGCGCAUCCAGACGCCUGCACGUGAAUAACUAUGAGAAUCAUGCUUUAUU
rnacentral:lncRNA from 1 species